CUUUAAUUUUUGGAGGAAUUGAAUUUCAAUUCUUAUUAUUACCAAAAAUACUUAAAAUUCUUACAGAUGGCAUGGGAAAGUAGCACACAGUCGGGACUCUGCAGCCGAGUUUGCCUCCUUGAAUGCACACAUAACACAGGAACAAAGACAGAGCUGCUUCCCUCCUGUUGGGUCUCUGGCGGACAGUCAGGUAAUGGGGAAAGGGAGACCCAGGCUGCGGUGACCCACUGAGGCACAGGAUCAGUGAGAACCCAGCCCUGGCUUUGCCCAGACCUCUCAAGGGCACUUCGUGGGACCAUUGCCGGCCGUUGUGGCAUCUGUCCCUGGCCUUGCCCCCAUCCGUCUCUGCACAGCCCAGGUGGGUCCGAGCCAGCCCCAGGUCUCCAGGGUCCCAGCCCAGCCUCUAGAAGAGCCAGCAGCAGGGCUGGAAGGGAGAGCACAUGCUGGGCCUUGGGGCUGCCUUGGACCUCAGGCCGUUGACAAGGAAAAGCGGAGAGUUGGGAAAAAAGGACAAAUAGCUGAGCGCCAGCCGCAGUCUGGGGGACGGGAGCCUCGUGCGACUCUCGGAGUGCUGGCCAGAUUGGCAGAGGGGAGGAGAGAGGAAAAACCCAGGCUCUGAGGAAAAACCUCUCCAGCCCAGCGCGUGGCCUGGCAUUAACCCACUGCAGCCCCAGGAAGUGGUUCCACCCCAGGCAGCCAACAAGGCGGUGCCUGAACUAUGUCUGUGGAUGACGGAGCCACGACCUGUCCCUCAGGGCUCAGCGCUGCGGCUAUGUCCAGGGACCCCUGGCUGUGCCCACGUCGGGGCUUCCCGUUCCUUACCUGCCAUGAGAAUGAGAUGUCCAGGGACCUCCCUGCUCCAGCUGGGACCUGUGGGGCUUUGUCUGUUGUCCCGAGCACCUUGGAGAUGUCAUUUCUAACAUUUUAACCCAGGAAUCCCCCCACCAAGGGACAGAGUGCAAGGACAUGAUCGAACAGAAAAAGUUCUGGUACAAGAUCAACCCCGUGGGGUGGUGAGUGCUGCAGCCCCGGGCCUCACAUCCUGCCGUCCCUGUGGGAGAUUGGAGCGGUCCCAGUGCCCACCGCUGAUUCUCUGGCUCCAGCAACCCCUCCAGGUGGAUCCGUCCCACGCAGCCUGGCCUGAAACACUGCCCAGCCACUGGGUCCAGUAAGACAGAGCCUCGAGUCAUUCUGCCAAGAGGAUCCAGAAACACAGACUUUUUCUGGGGUCCUGGAGGCUUCUGGCCCAUGGGGAGCCCCUGGGUCCCAGCGAUCCAGCCCUGAUGUGCUGAGGGUGCAGGGCCCAGCUGCAGAGCAGAGGAGAGUGGCCCCCAGGGACCAGCAGCACGAAAGGCACACUGAGGCACACUGGCAGGCCUGGGCUGCAGAGAGCCUGAAGGUCAUGGGGUAGCUGGUGGAAGCAGGAAGACCCCAUACAGCAGCGACCACUGAGGCUGGUGCUGCACUUUCUCAGGGAAUUGAGUGUGGGCUCCCACCAUCCCGGCCACUGGCUUCCUCCAAAGCCUCCUCCUCUUACAUCAGCAAACCUUCUGUUCGGUGACCCCCUCAGUGACCCUCUGUGCUUGCCUUCGUGGUCUUCCUCAUGGAGGAUUUCGGGUCAGCGUGGGGGUCAGAGGUCAUUUCCCAUACCCCCUCAAAGGUACUUCUUGCUGUGGUCCCCACACUCUGACACCCUCUUCUGAAAUGAACACUUUUUUGUUGUUGUUGUUGAGACAGAGUCUUGCUCUGUCGCCCAGGCUGGAGUGCAGUGGCACAAUCUUAGCUCACUGCAACCUCCACCUCCCAGGUUCAAGCGAUUUUCAUGCCUCAGCUUCCCGAGUAGCUGGGAUUACAGGCAUGUGCCACCAAGCCCAGCUAAUUUUUGUAUUUUUAGUAGAGAUGAGGUUUCACCAUGUUGGCCAGGCUGGUCUCGAACUUCUGACCUCAAGUGAUUCGCCCGCCUCGGCCUCCCAAAGUGCUGGGAUUACAAGCAUGAGCCACUGCGCCCGGCCACAAACACUUUUUUUUUUUUAAACAAGUGAAAACAAGUUUAUUAACAAAGUUAAGAAAUAAAGAAUGGCUAUUCCAUAGGGAGAGCAGCCUGAAUAAACACUUUUUUUGUUGUUGUUGAGGCAGAGCCUCACUCUGUCGCCCAGGCAGGAGUGCAGUGGUGCGACCUCAGCUCUCAGCUCCCUGCACCGUCCACCUCCUGGGUUCAAGCGCUUCUUCCCCAAGUAGCUGGGACUAUAGGCACACACCACCAUGCCCGGCUAAUUUUUCUCUUUUUAGUAGAGACAGGAUUUCGCCAUGUGGGUCGGGCUGGUCUCGAACUCCUGGUCUCAAGUGAUCCGCCCUCCUCGGCCUUCCAAAAUGCUAGGAUUACAGGCAUGAGCCGCCGUGCCUGGCCACAAACAUAUUUUAAAUUUGAACAAUAAAGGAACUGGACCAGGAAGUGUGGAGUUGGGGAGACCCUGCUCUCGCCAGGUGCCUUCCCGGCAGGUUGUCUCUGCCUCCCCUUGCACCCCUUGAAUGGCGGGCUCCCUCUCCCAUAGCCCCUGCCAGGCUGGAUAACCAACUUCAUUCUUAUACCCGUCCGAAUCUGCCCCCUGUUAAUGGCACCCACCAGUCCUUGUCCAAACCUCGAAGCUCAGGACCUCACAGAGCACCACGUCCUCUUCUGUGUCAUAUGCAGCUGGAUCUCAGUAAAUGGC
rnacentral:lncRNA from 10 species